UACGAAGGGGGCUAGCGUUGCUCGGAAUCACUGGGCGUAAAGCGCACGUAGGCGGAUCUUUAAGUCAGGGGUGAAAUCCCAAGGCUCAACCUUGGAACUGCCUUUGAUACUGGGGAUCUCGAGUCCGGAAGAGGUGAGUGGAAUUCCCGGUGUAGCGGUGAAAUGCGCAGAUAUCGGGAAGAACACCCGUGGCGAAGGCGGCUCUCUGGAACGCAACUGACGCUGAGACGCGAAAGCGUGGGGAGCAAACAGG
rnacentral:rRNA from 1 species